rnacentral:rRNA from 1 species
GACGAACGCUGGCGGCGUGCCUAAUACAUGCAAGUUGAGCGAUGAAGCUUGGUGCUUGCUCCAAUUUGAAGAGCAGCGAACGGGUGAGUAACGCGUGGGUAAUCUGCCUUUGAGCGGGGGACAACAUUUGGAAACGAAUGCUAAUACCGCAUAACAACUUUAAACAUAAGUUUUAAGUUUGAAAGAUGCAAUUGCAUCACUCAAAGAUGAUCCCGCGUUGUAUUAGCUAGUUUGGGAGGUAAAGGCUCACCAAGGCGAUGAUACAUAGCCGACCUGAGAGGGGGAUCGGCCACAUUGGGACUGAGACACGGCCCAAACUCCUACGGGAGGCAGCAGUAGGGAAUCUUCGGCAAUGGACGAAAGUCUGACCGAGCAACGCCGCGUGAGUGAAGAAGGUUUUCGGAUCGUAAAACUCUGUUGGUAGAGAAGAACGUUGGUGAGAGUGGAAAGCUCAUCAAGUGACGGUAACUAACCAGAAAGGGACGGCUAACUACGUG